rnacentral:misc_RNA from 1 species
AACCCUUGUGGAGGAGGACGCCGAAGGUGGGGCUAAUGACUGGGGUGAAGUCGUAACAAGGUAGCCGUACCGGAAGGUGCGGCUGGAUCACCUCCUAACAGGGAGACAACAAAAUGUUUAAUAUUAAUUUUGUCACCUUAGGUCGAUCGGUAUCUCAGGUUCUUAAUUCUAUUAAGAAUUUCAAUUCCUAAGUUUUUUCUAGGUCACACCCAUUACUUUUCCUGGGCCAUUAGCUCAGGUGGUUAGAGCGCACCCCUGAUAAGGGUGAGGUCCCUGGUUCAAGUCCAGGAUGGCCCAUAUCUCUAUGUUGGGGGUAUAGCUCAGUUGGUAGAGCGCCUGCUUUGCAAGCAGGAUGUCAGCGGUUCGAGUCCGCUUACCUCCACUGAAUACCACCUCUUUCAUAACGUGAAAAGGAAUUGUUUUAGAUGUGAUAUUUCUGGACGAAUCCAGCUUCCUAAUACUUAACAGAACUAUUAAGAUGCUGGACUCAUUGAAUUUUAUUCAUUGUUUUCAGAGAACCUUGACAACUGCAUAGAUUAUUUUUAAAGACAAUAAGCAUCUUUAAUGAUGCAGAUUUAUUAUUUUUGCUAUUGCAUUAAUAACAAUUCUAUUGAGCUGAUGCUUCAAUUUUUGAAGUUAUUGGUCAAGCUACAAAGGGCUCACGGA